rnacentral:rRNA from 1 species
CUACGGGGGGCACCAGUGGGGAAUAUUGGACAAUGGAGGAAACUCUGAUCCAGCCAUGCCGCGUGAGUGAAGAAGGCCCUAGGGUUGUAAAACUCUUUCAGUAAGGAAGAUAAUGACGGUACUUACAGAAGAAGCCCCGGCUAACUCCGUGCCAGCAGCCGCGGUAAUACGGAGGGGGCUAGCGUUGUUCGGAAUCACUGGGCGUAAAGCGCGCGUAGGCGGUUUGAAAAGUCAGAUGUGAAAGCCCAGGGCUCAACCCUGGAACUGCAUUUGAAACUAUCAGACUAGAAUUCGGUAGAGGAUAGUGGAAUUCCUAGUGUAACAGUGAAAUGUAUAGAUAUUAGGAGGAACACCAGUGGCGAAGGCGACUAUCUGGGCCGAUAUUGACGCUAAUGUGCGAAAGCGUGGGGAGCAAACAGGAUUAGAUACCCGUGUAGUC